UGUGUGUCUGUGUUCAGUGUGAGAAAGCAAGAAAGAAUGUUUCAAGAAUAAGACAAUGGCAUGCGUGAAGCCGAAGUAAAGAAAGCACAGAGAUUUUAAGAAAUUGCAAGGGCUGAGUAUGGCUAGAAUAUAGCAUACGAUGGGGAGAUGGACACACUGAGAGAAGAACUGGACAGGCACUGGGGAGCCACUGAAAAUUCUUAAGCAGAAGACCAAGGCAACUAGACACCAGCCAUCAAGAGCUGCUUAUGCGGGAGGCCCUCGGUGACUCACUUGCUCCUACUUCCCUGGGACUAUCUUCCUCAUACCACCUGCAGACCCAGAAGUCAAGCCUGUAGGAUGAAACCUGUCCAUCCACGAGAUGGGAAGCUGCCAGUAAUGAUCGAAGAGGCACAGUCAAUACUUGCCCUGACUUCUUUCUUGCGUGAGAUCCAAGAACCCUCUCCUGAGCUCUGGAUGCGGACCCCUUUUCUGGUAACACCAGCAACCUAGGCAGCCAGCAACCUAAGUUUUGCCUCUGCCAGUCAGCAUCAAGGGCUGAGCCUAGAUCCUCCAGCCAGUCUGCAAGCUCUUCCAGGCAGGAUUCUGCUUCUUUCAUUCUUUUA